rnacentral:rRNA from 1 species
AGUGAACGCUGGCGGUAGGCCUAACACAUGCAAGUCGAACGGCAGCACAGUAAGAGCUUGCUCUUACGGGUGGCGAGUGGCGGACGGGUGAGGAAUACAUCGGAAUCUACUUUUUCGUGGGGGAUAACGUAGGGAAACUUAUGCUAAUACCGCAUACGACCUACGGGUGAAAGCAGUGGAUCUUCGGACCUUGCGCGAUUGAAUGAGCCGAUGUCGGAUUAGCUAGUUGGCGGGGUAAAGGCCCACCAAGGCGACGAUCCGUAGCUGGUCUGGGAGGAUGAUCAGCCACACUGGAACUGAGACACGGUCCAGACUCCUACGGGAGGCAGCAGUGGGGAAUAUUGGACAAUGGGCGCAAGCCUGAUCCAGCAAUACCGCGUGGGUGAAGAAGGCCUUCGGGUUGUAAAGCCCUUUUGUUGGGAAAGAAAAGCAGCAGGUUAAUACCCCGCUGUUCUGACGGUACCCAAAGAAUAAGCACCGGCUAACUUCGUG